rnacentral:rRNA from 1 species
CGGCGGACGGGUGAGUAAUGUCUGGGAAACUGCCCGAUGGAGGGGGAUAACUACUGGAAACGGUAGCUAAUACCGCAUAACGUCGCAAGACCAAAGAGGGGGACCUUGGGCCUCUUGCCAUCGGAUGUGCCCAGAUGGGAUUAGCUAGUAGGUGGGGUAACGGCUCACCUAGGCGACGAUCCCUAGCUGGUCUGAGAGGAUGACCAGCCACACUGGAACUGAGACACGGUCCAG